GGCGGCCGCGCGGAGGCAGCGAUGAGUUAAAGCGGUACUUUUCAUAGGAGGUGUGGAAGAAAUGUGAGAAAGAGGUGUCUUAGAUGAGAGGAGACGACUGGACUAUGUGGAUCAAGGGAGAAGAGUUGAGUUGUGUGUUCUAGAAUACAAAAGUGACUUUGUUGUACAGUUUCAUCGGCCUGAUGAUUCUCUGCUGGAAAUCAGUGGAUGACUCAAAGCAAAGACAAAAGGCAGCCAAGUGUCAGACAGCAAAAGACAACACCGUUUUUCUUUCUUCAUGACAGCUGGGAUGAACAUUUGCAAGAUACGGAUCCAAAUGUUUCUUUUAAGGAUUGUGGCCUGAGGCCACCGCCGUGUCAGUCACCCACAUGUUAACUCUGGCAACAAACCAAGUAUUGAAUUCUUGCAGAAACGCCGAAAAGAUCGUUAGAAAAAAAGAAAAGCUUAUGUGUACAUACAUACUAUGGUAAGUCUACCUCAUGAGUCUCAUGCUGCACCUUUUGUGAGAUCUUCAGCAAAUAAAUGAAAUCUUAUGCAAAAGUUCACAUGUGGUUUAACGAAAUGUACAUAAAAACAAUUGUCUGCUUACUCACAAGGAGCACUUCUGGCUGCACUUUUGUCGAGAGAAUGAUUCUCAAUGGGCCCCAUGAAUCUCAGCCUGAGUGUUGGCUGAUACAAGAAGGUGAACAUGUAACACAAUGAGAUCUACUGCUGCACAGCUGCCUCCCAGCAGAGAAUGCAUUACAGUGCUCACGUGCGUUUGUAUGCUUGCAAACUCAGUCAGCUCAGUGGUAUUUGUUUUCUAUUAUCUAGAAGAGCAUUUGAGUGAGCAAACCCAGAAGGUGGGUUUGAGGACGGACCGGGCUGCAAGCUUCCAACCUGCGUAGUACAGAAGGACUCUCAGCAACUGGCCCAAGAGGAAACUGAAGAUGACUUGGUCCUGUGCUGUAGUAACAACACUUCACUGCUUUGGAAAAACAAUAAAAAGAAGAAAGAAAAAAGAAAGCAUUGAGAGUUCCAACACCAUAAAAAGAUAAGAAACAGAAUGUAUUUUGAGUGAAAGUGGAAAAGUCUUGUGUUACGCAACACAGUCAUGCAGAAAUCUCCAAAACAGGUGUGUUCAUAACAGCAUGGCACUGAGCAUGGAUUAAUUCAUUACAGCUGAGAUACUCCUAGGUUCUGAUUGGAAUAGUUUGUGGGUACAUCUUCUCACAGAUGUUCCAGCUCAGAUAUGUUACUGCCUCAGGCCUGCACUUGUACCAUUGGUUCUUGUGGUUUGGCUGAACUGGAGCAAGAGGAACAGAAAGACACAAGGGCUGUUUGCAAAGAAAAACAUAUAGAGGGGGAAAGUAGAAGCAGUUAAACAAAUAAAGAGGUAUUGAAGAGAAGGAAAAUCAAUGAGUCAUAAGUGAACAUGGACGAACUUUCAGAGGAAGUGAUGCAUGCAUGUAGAUGGAUAUUGGAUAUUACAUAGAGGGUAUUUCAAUGCUGGCAUUUGAUUUGAAAGAACAACCAGGCAGGUCCACUUUCUCUCCCUACUAAUUUACAUGAAAUUACUAACUCUCCUCUAAUUUGUAUUAGGACAUUUCAAAGCUCUGCGUGAUUUCCAAAGGCAAUUUGUGCCAAUGGGAAGGUAUACACACAGCAUAUGAAUGAGUACAAGGGAACUUGAUCAAAAUUCCAGUCUCAUGUAUUUUUUCUGAACACUUGCUGCACUCCUUUCAGAUCUGGAAAAUUGCAGGCUGACAUAUCUCUGGAUUUUUUAUGUUGUGCUUCUUUUCUCCUAAGAUCUACGCCCUACUGGUUCUGGGAAACUUGUGACCUCUGCAUUUUUAAUUAGAACUUGUAACAUUUUCCAUAGCAACAUAUUUUGAUGUCGCAAAUACAGAACCUGUCAAAUCAAACAAUUUCAAAGUGCAAAGCUACGGCCUUCUGGUCAAUUGAAGUCCAAGUACAUGAAAACACUGAGAUGCAAGGAAGACUGAAAAUUAUUUGUUGGUUAACUCAUAGCUUUGAUCUUCAUAAUUAAUAAAUCAGUACAGAUAUAAAAGAAUUACAUUGCAUGCUGGAGUGGUUUAGAUGAACUCAGUACUAAUUUCAUCGCACGUGAGAGCAGAUAGAAUCCAUCUGUCUGACUGGUGUGCCAGUACUAACAUGGUACAAAGGAGAGGAUCUAUUUCUAGGAAAUAGUCGAGAUGUGGAACAAACUUCACUCACAUGAUGAGCUGUGUGAGCAGGAAGUGAAGAAAACAGAAAUCCUCUGAAACGAGGCCUGAGCUCAGAUUUCAACAGACCCACAAUAUGAGCAGGAAUAAUAAUAAUGGGUUAAGAAAAGCAGUGUAACUUAGCACUUAAAUAUGUAUAUUAAAAAUAAGUCAUUUAUUUAUGAUACAUGCCCUGCAAGUGCCAAAUAAUACUUCUGUCAAGUCUGAAGAACAUAAACUGAGAAUUUUUGUCAUUCAGAUAUACUUAUCUUUCCUUUUCCUGCUUUAAGCUAAGACUAAUGGCCAAGGAAGUCAUAUUUUCCUGCCAUUACUAAGACUGCACAAGGUAAUUUGCCCCUCUGCAAGGACAUCCACGUGUAACUGUUAGUAACACCAGCAGCCACGAGAUAUGGAUAUGAUCAUCAAGUCUUACUAAAACAAAUGCUGAAUACCAUGAACCUUUCAGGAGGAAAAGGCAAGUGUCAAUGUGGAAUGCGGUAAGAACUUUCUUGUUUCUGGUAGCAUUGGGUAUGUGACUGCUAUCCCUCUUCUUAUUCCAUCUAUUUCCACUUUUUACAAAAAAAAAAAAAAAAAAAAAAAAAAAAAAACACUGGAAUAUUAAGUUAAUAUUAAGUUAAACGUGGUAUGUUUCAACCUUGCAUUGCAGAUAAGGAAUUCCUGGAGUUCCUGAAUCCUGCGUGAUUGCAGGCAGCUCAGCUGAGUGUGCAUAAGGGAAAGGGGAACAAAAAUAUAAGAUUUUUCUGUUUCCUACCAAUUAUCUGAUAUUUCCCCUCUACUGUCUUUGGUGUAAAAGAAAACCAAAGUUCAGCCUUCUAGGAAAUGUAUUCUGGUAACCUGAAAGACUUUAUAAAUAGAGUGCACAAAUAGAUGACAGUACUUCCAUGACAUAGAUUUUCUGCUUUAGAAUGAAAUGCUUCAUUUGAAAAAGCUCCUAAAAUUGUUAGAACAGUAAUUUAAAAAAAAAAAAAAAAGUUUAAACUCCACAAUUGAAUACAAAAAACGUUGCUGUGAAGGUUUUGAUUUCCAAGAAAUCCAUUUUAAACGUAUUUACAAAGUUUACAUAGAAGAAUAGAUCUGCUGCUAUCUAUAACAUUCACUUCUGUAGUAGAACAGCUAAUUUGCGACUAUUGGAUGAGAGAUACAGAAAGAGUCACUUUAGUGAAAGAAAAAAAAAACAUAUUAUUUUAAGGACAAAUAGUAAAAAAUGAUUGUUUUGGAGUUUAGAGACACAGAGUUUGAAGGAUUUUGCCCUCCGAUGCAGACUGCUCAUGCUUAUGCUGUAGCAAAGGAGGAGCAUCUUGACUACAAGAGUCUUAGUGGAAGAAAACUGGCAAUGCCUUUAUAAAAAUGUAUUUAAUUUCUGUGUUUGCAGUUUUCCCAGCUUCAUCCCUAGGUCCUGGCCUCAAGGGCCCUAGAGAUGUCACAGUUUUAAACAGUCUUAUAAAUCUAGGAGGGGAAAUGAGCUGUCUCUCAUCUUAAACAGAGAGCCUUGGAGAAUGUCUAUGGGGCUUUACCAAUGGAGCUGCCGAAAACAAAGCUAUGAUUCAGGGGUCUCUGACCUUUCCCAGCCCUCCUCCACCAGUGUCAGCCUGCAGCCUGCUCUUUAAAAGUUUCUGCUCACCCAGGGAGCAAAAUUAGAAAUCUUCUCCAGGGACAAUUUUUCUUCCAUCAAGCCACUCAUCAGCCCACUGAGGCAUGGAAACCAAAAAGGAAAAAGUGAGUUAAAAGAAUGUAUGUCUCUUGGUAAGGAUUUCCCACAGCAGAGUGUAAGUGUCCAGACUACCUCAUCAGCAGAGUCCCAGCCUUUACUAUAGGUCUUGGUAUUCAGUCUGUACUGUAGUGGUAUAGAAAAGUGCCAAGCACUGUGCAGGUGAUGCAUGCAUCAAUACAGCAGAUGUGGAGGUGUGUUUGAACUGCUUAACAUCAGCACUUACCAAAUGUUGAAGACACUCUAGCCCCUACGACAAAUAAAAGCAUUCAUUCAGAUGUGCAUGGCAUUUCAGGAAUGGAAUCAUUAUUAUCUUCUCCGAAAAUGUUUUGUCUUAUGUUUAAUAUAAUAUAAUAUAUAUUGCUUAUUGGAAACAAAUCCUUGUUAGUCUCGUUGUUUGUUUGUUUCCUAAUUGUGGAUCACCACAGAACAGGGUACAGUUCAUAAAUACCUCAAAUAUCUGAAAGGUGAUUGCAGCAGAGCAGGGCUGGUCUCUUCUCACUGGUGGCAGGAUGAGGAGAAAUGGCCUCAGGCUGCACCAGGGGAGGUUUAGGUCGGAUAUCAGGAAGAAUUUCUUUACAGAAAGGGUUGUUAAGCUCUGGAAUGGGCUCCCCAGGGAGGUGUUGAGUCACCAUCCCUGGAUGUGUUUAAAAUCCAUCUGGAUGUGGUGCUCAGGGACAUGAUUUAGUGGAGGGUUGUUAGAGUUUGGGUAGUAUGGUUGGGUCUUGAUUGGACUCAAUGAUCUUUAAGGUCUUUUCCAAGCAAAUUCUAUGAUUUCCGGAGCAAUUCUAUGAUUCUGUCAUUUAAUAUGGAGAAAAUUCAAGUAAACUAAAAAUCAGAUUUAAAAGAUAACCUGGUGCAAUGUACUUUUAUUUAUUAAUUUGUUUAUUUUUAUUCCCCAGGCCUUUUUAAAGUUAACCCUAGAAAACACCCCAUGUUGGCGACUCCUUGUAAUUCAUGUCAAUGUUCUUUCAGCAGCACAGUUGCUGCUUCCACGCCGUGAGCAUCUCCUGUAUUUGCUUUAGAACUGCUUCCUGCUGAUGCGUUAAGCACAGGAAGUGAAAGGUUGGUCCCAAAAUGUCUUCUGAGUGCAAAGGAGAAGCCUGCUGGGGCUGGGGCUGCAUGCAAGUCACAAUACUUUUCCUUGAAUAAUCACCUGAAGCACAACUCUUAGAAACCAUUGUACUGCAGCAAGUAGCUGCUAUUUUUCUGCACCCUUUUUUUUCUGUGCUUUCAGUGGCAGUUGUAGGUAUCUCACAUGGCCAGCUGCUCUCUGUUCACAACUAUAGGUGCUGGUGCCCUGUGUGUCCAUAAAUGAAUGGUUUAAGAGCCUGAUGUAAAUAAGCAGCACAAACACAGGGUGUUCCUCCCCUGCUCUGCCCUUGGAGCUGAAAGGCAGAAUAUUGGAAUGGGUCUGUUGUCGAUUCCAUAACUACCUCCCCCCAUUCAGCUGAAGGAAGGGAAAUAAGAAAAUUGAAAGGUCAGACUUCUGAAGUCAUCUUCGCCACGUGCUUAACAUUUACAUCAUCAAAUUAAUGGAAUGACUGCAACCACAAGCACAAAAGAUAAAGGACAGAAGCUCUUUUUCCUUCGCAGUACAAAUCCUUCUCACAGAACCUCACACUGAAUCUUUUCCCAGCUGUACAGGAUUUACUUCCCAUUCUCUUCCAAGAUGCCAGAAACUCAGCCUCUAGCUAAAGCCUGCUAAGACAACUCUUUUUUGUUUCUCUUGGUGAAGCAGACGCACCGCAUUCUGAACGCUUGCACUUUCCACCAUGAGAAGUGUUCUGGGAGAGAAAGCCCCAAAAGAUCAAAUGUUAUCAUUUCUCAUUAAGUCAGUUUACACCACUGUUGUCAGUCAGUGUAAGGAACAUUAAUAAGUACAAGCUGUGGUAAAUUCCUGGAGGUCGCCUUGCAGUGAUAAGGAAGCCUUGCAGUGAUCUGGAAGCCUACCUGCCUGCCAUGGAGCCCAAAGGCAGUCAUGCCAUCCCAUCCAUCUCCCUGAAGUCAAACUGGGCCCUGAAGUCUGAAGACUGCAAUAUUUCGUGUAGUUCUGCCUACAUACCAAACAUCCUCAGCAUCAAAAAUCCACUUGGCAGGUCUUUGGGCAGGCACUGAGUUUUCAUAUGUAUCAACCCGUCCAUGUAGAAUGAGAGCCUUUUCACCUGCGUGUAACUUGUUAAUGUGAGCAAAUAAAGCAUCUGGGAAGGGCAGGGAAAGGAAGGGGGAAAAGAAUAAGGUCAGAUCUGUAAAGUAAGUCGAUCUCUAAGGAUUAAGCAGUGCUUCUUUGUAGAGAUCCUCCACCAAAAAAAAAAAAAAACCCAGACAAGAUUCAGUGCUCUCAACAUAAACCACUAUGGAGACCAGCUGAACUCUUGGCAGAUAUCACAGGGUACCCCAAAAAGACAUAAAACAUAUGAUAAGGUGCUAAAUGCAACAUUAUCCAUGUAGCAUCUUUUAUUCAGCAUCUACAGUCAUCUGGGGUAGGCAAACUCAGGCCAGGGCAGCAGUAGUUGAGGUUUAUGUCCAAGGAUCAAGAUUAAAUUUAAAUAAGACACACAUUGCUUGCUUUUUUGUUAGCUGAGGCAAAGAGGACAUCACUCAUUCAGUCUGCAAACACUCCCACUGUGACACACUCAGUGCUAAACUGAGAAACGUUCUUAGGAAUGUCAUAGGUGAGGAAAUGAGCAGCAGCAAAUGGUACCUCCGCUUUGAUACCUGGGUUCAUGGAAACUUAUUUGAAGUGAUGUAAUAGGGCACAACCAUUUACCAGGUGUUGCCUAUUGAGAGGGAAAACUAUACAAAGCCACAUCUGACUUUAAACAGGUUCCUGUAAUGCUAAUUUACUUAGAGAUGGCACCUGGACAGGACAUUGUCUUCAGGAAGCUGUAGUGCACAGCCCAAGAAAUACACACAAACAGCUGUAAUUACUAAUAAGAACACACGUUUACAUUUGUAAGUGUUGGAAAGCCUUCAAUUUAGCAUCUCUAUAAAUGCUGGAAAGCUCUUAGAAUAAAUGACCAGAAUCCCUCCUUCCUUGGGAAGCCAGCAAGGGCCCCACCUGACGGCUCUCCCAACGAAGAGUGUUGGAAGCCAUUUUUUGCAGCUGGGGAAGGAAAAUACAAGCUUAGGGGAAGAAUCUAUCACAACUUCCAGCAUGAGAAGGAAAGCAAGAGACAACUUGUCUGAGUCUGCCUUCUUGCAGCAGGAGGGCUACGAAAGUGUUUUUAAUGUCAGUCAAAACCAUUCUCCACGAUGGAUAAAACACAACAGAAGUGGACCAGGUCCAGUUUUGGGGAGUGAUGCUUUCUGACUGUGAUGGUGCUGUGGUGAAUAUUUCACAUCAGUGUCCGCUUUGUAAAAUUCAAGAUCUGAGUAUCUCUCUAUGCUGUUCGCCUUCUAUAGUGGUUUCCAGCGUAGCUUGCUUUCUUCAACAAUCAACAUCACCUACUAUCUGCAGGCACAAAUUAUCUAUUAUUAUUAUUUCUGCAGUUUAACAACACAAAGCAAAAGCAGAAAUAAAAGGAGAGAACAAAAGCAGCUCGUGAAGUCCACAACAUGCAUAAGAUUUGAUAUACAAUGCAUUAACUUCUCCCCAUUCGGUCCCCACGAGGACAGCGGCUCCAGGGCUGUGUGGUCCUAAAGCUUUAAAGUCAUUGAAAUUCUAAUCUUUAAAAAACACUGAAAGAUGAACUUUGACUGUACAAACCUUCAAAUAAAAAUAGCAUUUUUACUAAUGUGCUCUUCCCAAGUGCCUGCUUCUUCCUAGUAGGUUUCCCAUCCUAAUACUGUAUGUUUUUGCAGCUGGCAAUUGACACUGCCAAUGAGCCUUUAUGUUCAAUGUUAUUUAAUAGAUUCCCAUCAGAAAGUUAUUUUUACUUUUCAGUUUCAGUAUCUUCUUGAAGUGUCCUGCAUAUAACGUUCAUAUUGUAAUUUGCAUUUUUUCCCAUAGGAUAAAAAAAUAAAGAUUCAAACAACAAUAUUGAAAGAAUUUAGAUUCAUUUGCUGAGAAAAAGAAUUUCACAGAAUGGAAACAUUCUUUAUUUUACUGGGGAAAAAAAAAAAAAGGAAGAAAUGCAACUUUUUUUUUAUUCAAGCAGCUGAACAUCACCAUCAUAAUGAAAUACUUCCAUUCAGUUUUAGUGGUAUGGUAUGGAAGGGUAAGGAGUUCAGUUAUCAUCAUACAUGGCUCUUUUUGUCAGGGCUGUGCUCCAUCCUUACACCCCCAGUUUGUAUUGGUAGUGGAAGUUGACUUGACCCAGUUGCAGGACGUUGCACCUGGAUUUGCUGAACCUCAUGAGGUCCUCCUGGGCCCACUGCUCAGCCUGUUUGGGUCCCUCUGGAUGGCAUCCCAUCCCUCAGGUGUGUCAACCACACCCCACAGCUUGGUGUCAUCAGCACACUUGCUGAGGGUGCAUUCGACUCCACUGUCAAUGUCAUCGACGAAGACAUUAAAGCGUAUUGGCCCCAGCACUGACCCCUGGGGGACACCACUCGUCACCGAUCUCCAUCCAGACAUGGAGCCAUUGAUCAGCACUCUCUGGAUUCAGUCCUGCAGACAGUGCUUCAUCCACUGAACCGUCCACCCAUCAAAUCCAUAUCUUUCCAAUUUGGAGAGAAGGAUAUUGUUUACUCUCCCACCAUACUUUUAGCAUGAAACUUUGAUUGGCAUUUUGUCCACAUUUCUCACAAGAUGGGUUCAUUUUCCACAUUUGAAGAGUAGAUAUAACUUGUAUAUGUCAGCUCAGAACAUAUCUAGGGUAGAUAUAACUUGUAUAUGUCUGCUCAGAACAUAUCUGCCACUGCUGCAUUGCAGUAGGAUGCACAUUUAUUUUCUGCACUAAGUUACUAAGUGAGUAUACUCUGCCCCUUCCCUCAGACUGAGAAAGUUUUUGUUCACACACAAGCAGUAUAAAUAUACUGUGAACUCUUUAAAGAUCUUCAAACCAACACUUUCUGUUGAAUUAGAAAAACAAUCUUAUGUGGCUACAGGAAUAAUGUUUGCAUUCUAUCAGCGCUGUCUCCGCCAAAGGCUGGAUUAUCUGUUUCACAUUCAUUUAAACACAGGAAGGUUAUAACAGGUCAGACAGCAAUCUGGACUUUAUUGGCUGGGAAAACUGACCUCAUAAAUCUGAUUUGAUACAUCUGUCCUUUCAGCUGUCUGCAUGUAUGCCUGUGCGUUCAGUUGGCCAUCUGCCUACUCAGUGGCAGAUCAGCUCCUGUGGCUACUGCACAGAGGAUUUUCCAAGUCCCUCUUUCUACCACAAAAAAAA